UACAGAGGUCUCGAGCGUUAGGCGGAAUCACUGGGCUUAAAGCGUGUGUAGGCGGAUCGGUAAGUACCUUGUGAAAUCCCACAGCUUAACUGUGGAACUGCUUGGUAUACUGCCAGUCUUGAGCCACUUAGGGGCUACCGGAACAAAUGGUGGAGCGGUGAAAUGCGUAGAUAUCAUUUGGAACGCCAAUGGUGAAAACAGGUAGCUGGGAGUGUGCUGACGCUGAGACACGACAGCCAGGGGAGCAAACGGG
rnacentral:rRNA from 1 species